rnacentral:rRNA from 1 species
UACGGGGGGGGCAAGCGUUGUUCGGAAUUACUGGGCGUAAAGGGCGCGUAGGCGGCCUACUAAGUCGGACGUGAAAUCCCUCGGCUCAACCGGGGAACUGCGUCCGAUACUGGUGGGCUUGAAUCCGGGAGAGGGAUGUGGAAUUCCAGGUGUAGCGGUGAAAUGCGUAGAUAUCUGGAGGAACACCGGUGGCGAAGGCGGCAUCCUGGACCGGUAUUGACGCUGAUGCGCGAAAGCGUGGGGAGCGAACAGG